rnacentral:rRNA from 1 species
GACGAACGCUGGCGGCGUGCUUAACACAUGCAAGUCGAACGGAAAGGCCCUGCUUUUGUGGGGUGCUCGAGUGGCGAACGGGUGAGUAACACGUGAGUAACCUGCCCUUGACUUUGGGAUAACUUCAGGAAACUGGGGCUAAUACCGGAUAUGAGCUCCUGCUGCAUGGUGGGGGUUGGAAAGUUUCGGCGGUUGGGGAUAGACUCGCGGCUUAUCAGCUUGUUGGUGGGGUAGUGGCUUACCAAGGCUUUGACGGGUAGCCGGCCUGAGAGGGUGAACGGCCACAUUGGAGCUGCGAUACGGCACAAACUCGUACAGGAGGCAGCAGUGGAGAAGAUUGCACAAUGGGCGGAAGCCUGCUGCAGCAACGCCGCGUGCGGGAUGACAGCCUUCGGGUUGUAACCCGAGUACGCCUGUGACGAAGCGUAAGUGACGGUAAUGGAUUAGGAAGCACCGGCUAAGUACGUG